UGGUGGAGUGAUUUGUCUGGUUAAUUCCGUUAACGAACGAGACCUUAACCUACUAAAUAGUUACGUGAUUCUCGAAUCACGGCAAACUUCUUAGAGGGACUAUUGGUGUUUAACCAAUGGAAGUUUGAGGCAAUAACA
rnacentral:rRNA from 1 species